rnacentral:misc_RNA from 1 species
GAUGAAGAACGCAGCGAAAUGCGAUAAGUAAUGUGAAUUGCAGAAUUCAGUGAAUCAUCGAAUCUUUGAACGCACAUUGCGCCCCCUGGUAUUCCGGGGGGCAUGCCUGUUCGAGCGUCAUUAUAACCCUCAAGCUCAGCUUGGUGUUGGGCCCCGCCGCCCCGGCGGGCCCUAAAGUCAGUGGCGGUGCCGUCCGGCUCCGAGCGUAGUAAUUCUUCUCGCUCUGGAGGUCCGGUCGUGUGCUCGCCAGCAACCCCCAAUUUUUUUCAGGUUGACCUCGGAUCAGGUAGGGAUACCCGCUGAACUUAAGCAUAUCAAUAAGCGGAGGA